UUAAUUGAUGUAUAAAAUUAAACAUUUUUGCUUUAUGAAUUUAAUUAUUUAGAUUUGAACCUAUUAACAAAAACUGUUCUUCUACUUAUGUAUUUUAGGUUCUUGCUAUCAUCCUGCUUUUGCAUACGUGUUGGUACAAGUGCUUAACAAAUUUUCUCAUUACAGAUAUCAACCUGUUUUUGGGAAAUUGAAAUCUUCGUUGAUAAUGUCGAAGAGAACUAGAAAUACCACGAGA